AGUUUGAUCCUGGCUCAGGACGAACGCUGGCGGCGCGCCUAACACAUGCAAGUCGAACGGAGAUUACAGGCGGAAGUUUUCGGAUGGAAGACUUUUAACUUUUGGGGGACGGGGGAUAACCCGUGCCCACCUCCCUUUCAAGGGGGGUUACAGUUGGAACCGUCUCUAUACCCCCCUAACAUAGGGAACCCCAUGUUUUUUUUCCAAGGUUUUUUCCGGAAUAGAGGGCUCGCUCCGAUUAAAUAGUGGUGGGGAACCGCCUUCCAAAUUGGAGAAUUGGUACCGGGAUUGGAGGUCGAACGGCCCCAUUGGGAUUGAACACGGCCCAGAUUCCUCGGGGGGCACCAGUGGGGAUAUUGCACAAUGGGGGAAACCCUGAUGCAGCGACGCCGCUUGAGGGAAGACGGUCCUCUGGAUUGUAAACCUCUGUCUUCGGGGACGAAACGAGACGGUACCCGAGGAGGAAGCCACGGCUAACUACGUGCCAGCAGCCGCGGUAAUACGUAGGUGGCAAGCGUUGUCCGGAAUUACUGGGUGUAAAGGGAGCGUAGGCGGGCAGGCAAGUCAGGCGUGAAAUAUAUCGGCUCAACCGGUAACGGCGCUUGAAACUGCAGGUCUUGAGUGAAGUAGAGGUUGGCGGAAUUCCUAGUGUAGCGGUGAAAUGCGUAGAUAUUAGGAGGAACACCAGUGGCGAAGGCGGCCAACUGGGCUUUUACUGACGCUGAGGCUCGAAAGUGUGGGGAGCAAACAGGAUUAGAUACCCUGGUAGUCCACACCGUAAACGAUGAUUACUAGGUGUGGGGGGACUGACCCCUUCCGUGCCGGAGUUAACACAAUAAGUAAUCCACCUGGGGAGUACGGCCGCAAGGUUGAAACUCAAAGGAAUUGACGGGGGCCCGCACAAGCAGUGGAGUAUGUGGUUUAAUUCGACGCAACGCGAAGAACCUUACCAGGUCUUGACAUCGUAUGCAUAAUGUAGAGAUACAUGAAGUCCUUCGGGACAUACAGACAGGUGGUGCAUGGUUGUCGUCAGCUCGUGUCGUGAGAUGUUGGGUUAAGUCCCGCAACGAGCGCAACCCUUGUAUUUAGUUGCUACGCAAGAGCACUCUAGAUAGACUGCCGUGGACAACACGGAGGAAGGUGGGGAUGACGUCAAAUCAUCAUGCCCCUUAUGACCUGGGCUACACACGUACUACAAUGGCAAUAGAACAGAGGGAAGCGACUCAGCGAUGAGAAGCAGAUCCCGAAAAAUUGUCUCAGUUCGGAUUGCAGGCUGCAACCCGCCUGCAUGAAGUCGGAAUUGCUAGUAAUCGCGGAUCAGCAUGCCGCGGUGAAUACGUUCCCGGGCCUUGCACACACCGCCCGUC
rnacentral:rRNA from 1 species